AUGCCUUUUCCUCCUAAACCAUCCAAGAAAAAGGAUGAUGAGGAUUUUGAGCGCUUUGUUGAAAUGAUUAGACCUAUCUUCUUGCGUAUGUGUUUGACUGAUAUGCUCAAAAUGAAUCCUUAUGCUAAGUAUAUGAAAGAAAUUGUUACUAAUAAAAAAAAGAUAUCGGAAGCUGAAAUUUCCACCAUGCUUGCUAAUUAUACUUUUAAAGGUGGAAUACCUAAGAAACUAGGAGAUCCCGGAGUACCGACUAUACCAUGCUCCAUUAAAAUAAACUAUGUUAAAACUGCUUUAUGUGAUCUAGGAGCCGGUGUUAGUGUUAUGCCUCUUUCUUUAUAUCGUAGACUUGAUUUGAAUAAGUGGACACCUACUGAAAUAUCUUUGCAAAUGGCUGAUAAAUCAACUACUAUACCUAUCAAUAUUUGUGAGGAUGUGCCUGUUGUGGUUGCAAACGUUACUAUUUUAAUGGACUUUGUUAUUCUUGAUAUUCCUGAGGACGAUAGUAUGUCUAUUAUUCUUGGAACACCCUUUUUGAAUACUGCAGGGGCUGUUAUUGAUUGCACCAAAGGCAAUGUCACUUUUCAUGUUAAUGGCAAUGAGGAUACAGUACACUUUCCGAGGAAACAACCUCAAGUUCAUAGUAGAAUUUCCAUCGAUUAUUUUUGGAGGUUUCGAAUUUCCUCUUCCUGCUGUCAAGAAGAAAUAUGA
rnacentral:rRNA from 1 species